rnacentral:rRNA from 1 species
CCUACGGGAGGCAGCAGUGAGGAAUAUUGGUCAAUGGGCGCGAGCCUGAACCAGCCAAGUAGCGUGAAGGAUGACUGCCCUACGGGUUGUAAACUUCUUUUAUAAAGGAAUAAAGUGAGGCACGUGUGCCUUUUUGUAUGUACUUUAUGAAUAAGGAUCGGCUAACUCCGUGCCAGCAGCCGCGGUAAUACGGAGGAUUCGAGCGUUAUCCGGAUUUAUUGGGUUUAAAGGGAGCGUAGAUGGUGUGUCAAGUCUGUUGUGAAAGUUUGCGGCUCAACCCUAGAAUUGCAAUUGAUACUGGCAGUCUUGAGUACAGUAGAGGUAAGCGGAAUUCGUGGUGUAGCGGUGAAAUGCGUAGAUAUCACGAAGAACACCGAUGGCGAAGGCAGCCUUCCGGCGCCCUACUGACGCUGAGGCACGAAAGUGCGGGGAUCGAACAGGAUUAGAUACCCUAGUAGUC